UACAGGGGGUGCGAGCGUUAAUCGGAAUUACUGGGCGUAAAGCGCACGUAGGUGGCGACGUAAGUCGGGUGUUAAAGCCCCGGGCUCAACCUGGGAAUUGCAUUCGAGACUGCAUAGCUGGAGUACGGAAGAGGAGGGCGGAAUUCCCGGUGUAGCGGUGAAAUGCGUAGAUAUCGGGAGGAACAUCAGUGGCGAAGGCGGCCCUCUGGUCCAGUACUGACACUCAAGUGCGAAAGCGUGGGGAGCAAACAGG
rnacentral:rRNA from 1 species